rnacentral:rRNA from 1 species
UACGAAGGGGGCUAGCGUUGUUCGGAUUUACUGGGCGUAAAGCGCACGUAGGCGGACUAUUAAGUCAGGGGUGAAAUCCCGGGGCUCAACCCCGGAACUGCCUUUGAUACUGGUAGUCUUGAGUUCGAGAGAGGUGAGUGGAAUUCCGAGUGUAGAGGUGAAAUUCGUAGAUAUUCGGAGGAACACCGGUGGCGAAGGCGGCAUCCUGGACCGGCAUUGACGCUGAGGCGCGAAAGCCAGGGGAGCAAACGGG